CGACCCCAGGUCGGGCGGGACUACCCGCUGAAUUUAAGCAUAUAAAUAAGCGGAGGAGAAGAAACUUACAAGGAUUCCCCUAGUAACGGCGAGCGAACCGGGAACAGCCGAGCUUGAGAAUCGGGCGGCUGUGCCGUCCGGAGUGUAGUCUGGAGAGGCGUCCUCAGCGACGGAGCGAGCCCAAGUCCCCUGGAAAGGGGCGCCUGGGAGGGGGAGAGCCCCGUCCGGCCCGGACCCUGUCGCAUCACGAGGCGCGGUCAGCGAGUCGGGUUGUUUGGGAAUGCAGCCCAAAUCGGGCGGUAGACUCCGUCCAAGGCUAAAUACGGGCGAGAGACCGAUAGCGAACAAGUACCGCGAGGGAAAGAUGAAAAGGACUUUGAAAAGAGAGUCAAAGAGUGCUUGAAAUUGCCGGGAGGGAAGCGGAUGGGGGCCGGCGAUGCGCCCGGCCGUAUGCGGAACGGCUUUUGCUGGUCCGCCGCUCGGCUCGGGGCGUGGACUGUUGUCGGCUGCGCCGGCGGCCAAAGCCCGGGGGCCUUAGGUGCCUCCGGUGGCCGUCGUCGGCACGGCCGGUACUCGCGCGCCGAAAGGCGUGUCCCUCGGGGCCCUGCGCUGCAACGGCCUGCGGGCUCCCCAUCCGACCCGUCUUGAAACACGGACCAAGGAGUCUGACAUGCGUGCGAGUCGACGGGUUCUAAAACCUGGGAUGCGCAAGGAAGCCCGACGAGCGGGAGGCCCUCACGGGCCGCACCGCUGGCCGACCCUGAUCUUCUGUGAAGGGUUCGAGUUGGAGCACGCCUGUCGGGACCCGAAAGAUGGUGAACUAUGCCUGAGCGGGGCGAAGCCAGAGGAAACUCUGGUGGAGGCUCGAAGCGAUGCUGACGUGCAAAUCGUUCGUCUGACUUGGGUAUAGGGGCGAAAGACUAAUCGAACCAUCUAGUAGCUGGUUCCCUCCGAAGUUUCCCUCGGGAUAGGCUGGAGCCCAUUACGAGUUCUAUCGGGUAAAGCCAAUGAUUAGAGGCAUCGGGGCGCAACGCCCUCGACCUAUUCUCAAACUUUAAAUAGGUAGGAUGGUGCGGCUGCUCCGGUGAGCCGCGCCACGGAAUCGGGUGCUCCAAGUGGGCCAUUUUUGGUAAGCGAAGCUGGCGAUGCGGGAUGAACCGGAAGCCGGGUUACGGUGCCCAGCUGCGCGCUAACCUAGAACCCACAAAGGGUGUUGGUCGAUUAAGACGGCGGGACGGUGGUCAUGGAAGUCGAAAUCCGCUAAGGAGUGUGUAACAACUCACCUGCCGAAUCAACUAGCCCCGAAAAUGGAUGGCGCUGAAGCGCGCGACCCACACCCGGCCAUCUGGGCAAGCGCCAUGCCCGAUGAGUAGGAGGGCGCGGCGGCCGCUGCAAAACCUAGGGCGCGAGCCGGGCGGAGCGGCCGUCGGUGCAGAUCUUGGUGGUAGUAGCAAAUAUUCAAAUGAGAACUUUGAAGGCCGAAGAGGAGAAAGGUUCCAUGUGAACGGCACUUGCACAUGGGUAAGCCGAUCCUAAGGGACGGGGUAACCCCGGCGGAUAGCGCGAUCACGCGCAUCCCCCGAAAGGGAAUCGGGUUAAGAUUUCCCGAGCCGGGAUGUGGCGGUUGACGGCGGCGUUAGGAAGUCCGGAGACGCCGGCGGGGGCCUCGGGAAGAGUUAUCUUUUCUGCUUAACGGCCUGCCAACCUGGAAUCGGUUCAGCCGGAGGUAGGGUCCGGUGGUCGGAAGAGCACCGCACGUCGCGCGGUGUCCGGUGCGCCCCCGGCGGCCCAUGAAAAUCCGGAGGACCGAGUACCGUCCACGCCCGGUCGUACUCAUAACCGCAUCGGGUCUCCAAGGUGAACAGCCUCCGGCCAAUGGAACAAUGUAGGCAAGGGAAGUCGGCAAAACGGAUCCGUAACCUCGGGAAAAGGAUUGGCUCCGAGGACUGGGCUCGGGGGUCCCGGCCCGAACCCGUCGGGCUGUCGGCGGAUUGCUCGAGCUGCUCACGCGGCGAGAGCGGGUCGCCGCGUGCCGGCCGGGGACGGCCCGGGAAUCGUCCCUUCGGGGGCUUUCCCCGAGCAUGAAACAGUCGACUCAGAACUGGUACGGACAAGGGGAAUCCGACUGUUUAAUUAAAACAAAGCAUUGCGAUGGUCCUCGCGGAUGCUUGACGCCAAUGUGAUUUCUGCCCGGUGCUCUCGAAUGUCAAAGUGAAGAAAUUCAACCAAGCGCGGGUAAACGGCGGGAGUAACUAUGACUCUCUUAAGGUAGCCAAAUGCCUCGUCAUCUAAUUAGUGACGCGCAUGAAUGGAUUAACGAGAUUCCCACUCGCCCCGUCUACUAUCCAGCGAAACCACAGCCAAGGGAACGGGCUUGGCGGAAUCAGCGGGGAAAGAAGACCCUGUUGAGCUUGACUCUAGUCCGACUUUGUGAAAUGACUUAAGAGGUGUAGGAUAAGUGGGAGCCUUUACGGGCGCAAGUAAAAUACCACUACUUUUAACGUUAUUUUACUUAUUCCGUAGGUCGGAAGCGGGGCAAGUCCCCUCCUUUUGGCUCAAGGCCCGGUUUUACCGGGCCGAUUGAUGCCUACGGAAGACUUAUUCUCGGGUGGACGAGUUUGGGCCUGCAAGAGCACAUAGGUUUGUAGAACAGCAGCAAGUUUCCCUUAAGAUGGAUACCCAAGGUUUAUCGAAAUCUCGUGUGGAGGAAGAGGGUCAAAGAUAUCCGUCUCAUGCAACCUCGCAACCACAAAGCAAGAAGUCUCUUGUGUCCCCAACACACCUAAUAGGUGCACUGAGUUCGACGCAAGAGAUAGUCGAAAAGUUACCACGUGGUAUAAAUAAGCUAUGUGGCAGCACAAGCGUUGCAAGCGAAAGUGCUUGGCGUGUAGUUGAUGGUGGUGGCUAUUGCAGCAUAGUCAUCUGUGAAACAGAAUUCACCAAGUGCUGGAUUGGUAACCCACAGUAGUAACGCAGGCACAGCAGUGUAAACAAGCAGUAGUAACUCAGCAGUAUUUAGGAACAAGGCCUAGGGAUUACACUUUCACUAGUGGACACUCUCAACAUUGAUCACAUAACAGAAUAGAUAAAUGCAUACUCUACACUUUUGUUGGAUGAUGAACACAUUGCGUAGGAUUACACGAACCCUCAAUGCCGGAGUUAACAAGCUCCACAAUAAUGCCUCAUGUUUAAGUAACCUUUAGUGUAAGAUAGAUCAACGUACUAAACCAAGUACUAGCAUAGCAUGCACACCUGUCACCUUCAUGCAUAUGUAGGA